rnacentral:pre_miRNA from 1 species
AUAUUACUCCCUCCGUCCGAAAUUACUUUUCAUGAAAAUGAAUACAAAUGGAUGUAUCUAGAAUUAAAAUACAUCUAGAUACAUCCAUUCCCAUGACAAGUAUUUCCGGACGGAGAGAGUAUAUC